GCAAGUCGAACGAUGAAGCCCAGCUUGCUGGGUGGAUUAGUGGCGAACGGGUGAGUAACACGUGAGUAACCUGCCCUUAACUCUGGGAUAAGCCUGGGAAACUGGGUCUAAUACCGGAUAGGAGCGCCUACCGCAUGGUGGGUGUUGGAAAGAUUUAUCGGUUUUGGAUGGACUCGCGGCCUAUCAGCUUGUUGGUGAGGUAAUGGCUCACCAAGGCGACGACGGGUAGCCGGCCUGAGAGGGUGACCGGCCACACUGGGACUGAGACACGGCCCAGACUCCUACGGGAGGCAGCAGUGGGGAAUAUUGCACAAUGGGCGCAAGCCUGAUGCAGCGACGCCGCGUGAGGGAUGACGGCCUUCGGGUUGUAAACCUCUUUCAGUAGGGAGAAGCGAAAGUGACGGUACCUGCAGAAGAAGCACCGGCUAACUACGUGCCAGCAGCCGCGGUAAUACGUAGGGUGCGAGCGUUAUCCGGAAUUAUUGGGCGUAAAGAGCUCGUAGGCGGUUUGUCGCGUCUGUCGUGAAAGUCCGGGGCUUAACCCCGGAUCUGCGGUGGGUACGGGCAGACUAGAGUGCAGUAGGGGAGACUGGAAUUCCUGGUGUAGCGGUGGAAUGCGCAGAUAUCAGGAGGAACACCGAUGGCGAAGGCAGGUCUCUGGGCUGUAACUGACGCUGAGGAGCGAAAGCAUGGGGAGCGAACAGGAUUAGAUACCCUGGUAGUCCAUGCCGUAAACGUUGGGCACUAGGUGUGGGGACCAUUCCACGGUUUCCGCGCCGCAGCUAACGCAUUAAGUGCCCCGCCUGGGGAGUACGGCCGCAAGGCUAAAACUCAAAGGAAUUGACGGGGGCCCGCACAAGCGGCGGAGCAUGCGGAUUAAUUCGAUGCAACGCGAAGAACCUUACCAAGGCUUGACAUGUUCUCGAUCGCCGUAGAGAUACGGUUUCCCCUUUGGGGCGGGUUCACAGGUGGUGCAUGGUUGUCGUCAGCUCGUGUCGUGAGAUGUUGGGUUAAGUCCCGCAACGAGCGCAACCCUCGUUCCAUGUUGCCAGCACGUAAUGGUGGGGACUCAUGGGAGACUGCCGGGGUCAACUCGGAGGAAGGUGAGGACGACGUCAAAUCAUCAUGCCCCUUAUGUCUUGGGCUUCACGCAUGCUACAAUGGCCGGUACAAUGGGUUGCGAUACUGUGAGGUGGAGCUAAUCCCAAAAAGCCGGUCUCAGUUCGGAUUGGGGUCUGCAACUCGACCCCAUGAAGUCGGAGUCGCUAGUAAUCGCAGAUCAGCAACGCUGCGGUGAAUACGUUCCCGGGCCUUGUACACACCGCCCGUCAAGUCACGAAAGUCGGUAACUACCCGAAGCCGG
rnacentral:rRNA from 1 species